rnacentral:lncRNA from 1 species
UUCUCAGAGUGACUUUCCCCAAGCCAUGGGGCUUGGCUAUUAACCAUUUUCAUGGACCAUGCUAGUGGUGAUGCCCUGAAAAAUCCUGGGUCCCAACUGAAGAAGAGCAAACUUGGGGUAGUGACUGCUCUGGAAAUAAGGCUUAAACAGUACUGUGCUGGAAGAUGAUGCAAAAAAAUCUGAUGGAAAAGGAGCUUUCCAAAAGA